GGCGCUUUCCUGAUCCAGCCAUGCCGCGUGAGUGNCUGAAGGCCCUANGGUUGUAAAGCUCUUUUAUCCGGGACGAUAAUGACGGUACCGGAAGAAUAAGCCCCGGCUAACUUCGUGCCAGCAGCCGCGGUAAUACGAAGGGGGCUAGCGUUGCUCGGAAUCACUGGGCGUAAAGGGCGCGUAGGCGGACGUUUAAGUCAGGGGUGAAAUCCCGGGGCUCAACCUCGGAAUUGCCUUUGAUACUGGAUGUCUCGAGACCGGAAGAGGUAAGUGGAACUGCGAGUGUAGAGGUGAAAUUCGUAGAUAUUCGCAAGAACACCAGUGGCGAAGGCGGCUUACUGGUCCGGAUCUGACGCUGAGGCGCGNAAGCGUGGGGAGCAAACAGGAUUA
rnacentral:rRNA from 1 species